rnacentral:misc_RNA from 1 species
GUUCUAUACUGCGAACCAAGACAAUAUAUCGGAGAUCAAAUUUUCUCCCUUUAAAUAGAGCAGGAUGCUCAAUGUACUUCUGACAGAUUUUUGGGCCAGUCUCCAUGAGACGAAUAAUAGCAGAUAGAUUGCUAUUUAUUGUCGUAUCAAUAGUUCUUGCCAUGUUCCAUGGCUUCAAGAUCCACAAAUUGUCUAGAUUCUCUAUUUCACGUAUAUGAAAAUCUCCAAUAAGGUGACUUAGCUGUGUCUCAAGAUUAUAAGUAGGCUGAAGCCAUUCGACCAACCCAUGAGCCUUCUGAAUAGUUUCAGCCAAGUGAUGUUUCAUAACCACGCAAGCCUCAAAUGGAAAUUGAUUUAUGUAUUGUUCAUCAUUUAUUCCUGUUGCCUUCUUUGUCUCCUUGUCUAUCUGCAUGCUUGUCCAUAUAAUGUCUGCAUCUUUGGGCUCAGUUGUGAUAACAAACUCAGGACGAGUCAAAUAUUCCUCCACUUGAGGUAUGUCAGCGUACACACGUAAAGCUCUUCCCUCACCACAAAACAGACUACUUGUAAUUGAUGACCCCUGUACUGGGCUAGCAAUUUUGAUUGAUUGCAAUUUGUUCUUGUAUUUUUCAUAUUCUUUGAUAAAAUAAUUUUUUGGUGUAUGGAACCAAGCAGUUAGGCGAGCAGAUCGUUGCUUCUCUUCCCCGAUACCAAAUAGGUAAUCCCGAGUGCACUCAUCACCUUCUCGAACAUCAUCAAUCGGCCAAAGAAUUGAAUAACUCAUAGCUGAUGCCAAAUUGCCCUCUGGCAUGUAGAGAAAAGGAGAGACUCUAAAAUUUGGCUUGUCGCUGUGGCGCAAAGCAGAACCAAGUUCAUCCAUUACAUACCAUACAGAGGUUUCGUCAAUUUUUUCUUCAUCGGCAAGUCUAUACGUCAUUAAGUACAACCACAUAGCAUUAAUGACACGAUCUGUUAGAGGUUCUCCAGCAGUCCAUUUAGGAAAACGUGGUUGCAACAUUGAAUCAACCACAGACUUCCCGGACUCCAUUAUUUUCGAUGUGUUUACUCCAUUUAGUAGAGAAAGAUUAGGCAGGGCUUCAACAAUUUCAGCAGCACUUUCUCCUAAAGGCCCUGGGAUAUCCACCUCCAGAGAAUGCAAGCAACUGAAUCGUUUAAGAAGCUGAAAUAAAUCACUAAGACAAUUCUGGUCCAAUGGAUUUCCACGCAAGUUUAAAUAAGAAAGAGAUGUGAUCUCUUCAGGAUUAAAUGCCUUGUUCAUCAGAUUGCGAAUAGACCUGUUACUAAGGUCUAGAGAUGUCACAGUCUCCAAAGGAUGAUCUCUUUGAUGAGCACAGUCUGCAUUGUCUUUGUCAUAGAUUCCACCACAAAAUCCUAAUGCCCACUCUCCAUAGUUAGAUGUAAAUUUUGAGUUGCAAAUUUCCAAACUAGGACAACCCUGAAUGAUUGCAGCCUCCGAAUUACUAUUCUCCAAAACCGGAUUAUUAUUCAGCCAGAGAGCUUUAAGAUUGUUGAGUCGGCCGUGCUGAGAAAAUGACCUUAGG